rnacentral:SRP_RNA from 1 species
UUGAUCAGGCUUCCGCACUAGCACGGUGUCGAUAUGGUUGAAAUGGGGAAGCCUGGAUCCACCAGGUCUUUUAAGGAUCAAUGAAGCAGCAUAGGGGGGAAACGCAACAAGCAAAAUCUUCCCCAGGGUGCAGUAGUGGGAUAGUGCUUGUG